rnacentral:rRNA from 1 species
UGGGGAAUAUUGCACAAUGGGCGCAAGCCUGAUGCAGCAACGCCGCGUGAACGAUGAAGGUCUUCGGAUCGUAAAGUUCUGUUGCAGUGGAAGAUAAUGACGGUACCCUGUGAGGAAGCCCCGGCUAACUACGUGCCAGCAGCCGCGGUAAUACGUAGGGGGCUAGCGUUAUCCGGAUUUACUGGGCGUAAAGGGUGCGUAGGUGGUCUUUCAAGUCGGUGGUUAAAGGCUACGGCUCAACCGUAGUUAGCCUCCGAAACUGGAAGACUUGAGUGCAGGAGAGGAAAGUGGAAUUCCCAGUGUAGCGGUGAAAUGCGUAGAUAUUGGGAGGAACACCAGUAGCGAAGGCGGCUUUCUGGACUGCAACUGACACUGAGGCACGAAAGCGUGGGUAGCAAACAGG